UCUGCUGUGUGAGGGGAAUAUUUGAGGCUCUGCAGUAGAAAUGUAUUCACUUCAGUAUCUGGGACAGUUGAUCAGCUAAAGCGACUAUUUGCUGCUGCAGAAAUCUUCUCACCAGGCUGUGGAAACUUUCUUCUCCUCAAACACUUGGUGGAGUUCUUUCCAGAACCAGAGAAGUAUUCUGCGGUCUUCGUGACAAUCGGAGCUCCAGAAUCAGCUGUUAGCUAAACACGGCUAAAGAAAACCUGCUACCACUUCAGGAUCAUCCAUCAGCUGGGACUGCUUCAUCGUGUGUUCUUCACCACCUGGACCUGGACAGCAUGGACACAGGUAGGGCUGCCACCUUUCAGA
rnacentral:lncRNA from 1 species